AAUCUUUCUAAACCAUAUUUCAUUUCUAAACCUAUCCUGCCGCCACCCCAAAACUCAACACCACCACCAUCUUCGUCAGCUCCAUUCCCCUCACCCAAAACCAGUCAGUCCCCUCUGUCCUUCCCUCACCAUCUCUGACGACCCAAGCGGAAGUGUCUAAAUCACCCAAGCCCAUCUCGGCCGCCCUCGCGCGCGACCCCGAAGCCAGACGAGACCCCAACUUAGCCCUCACCAGCGUCUGACCACCCUAGCGCCACCUCACCUCGCCUGUUCCCACACCAAACCCAGACCAGACCAGGUGUGAGUUGUUAAGGGAAAAGUUACUUCUUAGAUAUGGACAAGCGGACAAUGUGCUUGAUUUAUUGGCCUCUUCCACUAUCUUUUCUACCCCGUAAGCUAUCAAAGAAUGGUAAAAUAAAACCGGAGGAGUCUGAGUACAAUGCUUGGAACAAUGAAUUUCAGAAAGCAAAAGCAUCCAUGGGGGCUGAUAGAGAGACGGUGCUUGAACAAGUAUCGGAUAUGAUUGAGAGAGUUGAUUCUUGUUGGUGCUACUGCUGUCGAAGACAAAUUGCAAAAAGGAAUGACACUAGUUCCAGAACUCAACAAUGUUAUAAUCAGAAUAAUCUCUUUCCUAAACAACUCAACUUCACACAAUCAAAUCCGCCAAGUCCAGGCUCAACUCAUUCUCCAAAACCUUGUAGGUGAUUCCACCAUUGGUUCCCACUUCAUCACUGCCUGCCAAUCUCUAGGCCUCUUGGAUUUCGCCCAUCUUUUUUACUUCACCCAAAUUCGUAGACCCCAUGUUUUUAUUUGCAAUUCUCUCAUCAGGGCGUUUUCUCAUUCAGAUAAUUCCCAUGCCCCACUCUCUAUAUACCUUCAUAUGCUCAGAAACUCAAUUAUUCCUAACAAUUUCACUUACCCUUUUCUUCUUAAAUCUUUGUCCGACUUUCGUGAGUUCAAACAAGGGGAGUGUGUCCGUACGCACGUCAUAAAAUUGGGCCAUCUUAAUGACAUUUACGUGCUGAAUUCUCUACUUGACAUCUAUGCGUCGGCUGGCCAUAUUUACUUGUGUCGGAAACUGUUCGACGAAAUGCCCCAAAGAGAUGUUGUUUCUUGGACGGUUUUGAUCAUGGGGUAUCGGAAUGCUAGGAAGUAUGAUGAUGCAUUAAUUGCUUUUGAGCAGAUGCAGUAUGCUGGUGUUAUCCCGAAUCAUGUAACCAUGGUCAAUGCCUUGGCUGCGUGUGCUAAUUCUGGGGCCCUGGAAAUGGGAGUUUGGAUACAUGACUUUAUAAAAAGAAACAAGUGGGACAUGGAUGUGAUUUUGGGGACUUCCUUAAUCGAUAUGUAUGGGAAAUGCGGUAGGAUUGAAGAGGGUUUGGCUGUUUUCAAAAGGAUGAAGAAAAAUAAUACCUUCACGUGGAAUGCUGUUAUUCAAGGUCUAGCUCUUGCUAAGAGUGGAGAUGAGGCUUUGUGGUGGUUUAACAAAAUGGAGCAAGAAGGGGUUAAAGCAGAUCAAGUAACAUUGGUGGCAGUUCUUCUUGCAUGUAGUCAUGCGGGGUUUGUAAAUACGGGCACACAAAUAUUUCGUGCUAUAGUUGAUGGUAAAUAUCAAUUUCCUCCUACUGUCAAACAUUAUGCGUGCAUGGUUGACAUCUUUGCGCGUGCUGGACGUCUUGAAGAAGCUUUCAAGUUCUUAAAUGAAAUGCCUUAUGAGCCUACGAAAGCUAUAUGGGGAUCAUUAUUGGCAGGUGGCAAGGCUCAUGGAAAUUUAGACCUCAGUGAGUUUGCAGCUUGGAAGCUUAUUGAACUUGAGCCAGGCAAUAGUGCUUAUUGCGUAGUUCUCUCUAAUUUGUAUGCAGAGAUGGGAAGAUGGAGUGACGUUGAGAAAGUGAGGGAGAUGAUGAAAGACAGAGGUCUUAAGAAAGAUUUGGGUUAUAGUUCUGUAGAAUUUGAGCGCCACAAAGUAGUUGAUUAUUUAGUAUAAUAGUAAUUACCUUUUGAAUGUGAUCACAGACACGAGAUAUGAAAGAAUGCACCAUCACUGAUUGUUUAUCCGUGGCUAAUCGGAAAAAGAAUGAGGCUUGUGGGACUGACAGGUGGCAUUUCCUCUGGCAAGAGCACUGUUUCCAAUCUCUUCAAA